rnacentral:rRNA from 1 species
AUGAGUCAAAAACAUGCUUUUCUUGCUGCCUCCAGAACAGCCCAUACGAUCAUCCCAGACCGUACUCCUGAGAAGAUCUUCUUGGAUACAGUCAGACUGAUUGCAGAAAGAACAGAUGAUCUACUUGCCGAGGUCAGGAAAUACAUAAAGGAUGGAAAGCUUGCCGAAACAGCAGUUUUGCUCCUGGCAGCUCAAAAGAAGAUCCGCGCGGGAUCUUCGUUCAAGGAAAAUGGCAAUAGCAAGACAGAUGGGUUUAGUAUUAUCUCUCAUGUUUGUACAGAGGAUGCUGUUGCCAUAGAUUCACAGAUUACUCAAAACAGAGUUAGAAAGAAGCAGCAGCUGAAGGCGGACAAAAAGCUUAGGCGUAUGGCAUUGCUGCUUGUUAUUGUAAUUUGCGAAGCUGGCGAAGCUCUUGAUGCAUACAUUCGGGCACAUCCAGAGGUCCCCUAUGCCAUGCAGGUGGCUCACGAUGAGGUUCUGAAACGUGUCUCAUCGAUUCUGAAUAACCAUGGUUUUUGUCCUACUGGAGAAUGCAUCAACAUAGAAAAUCUCUGCCCCUAUGAUCAACAAUCAUCCUCUCUGUCAGACAACAUGUUGUCCAACAAACAUGAUGGAUAUGCUACAGCUGAGAUGGUUGCCAGAAAGAAACAGCCUAGAGGAUGGGAGCUCGAACAUGCAAGGAGAAGCUUCGUCCCAUACUGGAAGGCAGUGUUAUUUUCCCAGUUGGAAGCAAGGGCGUGCUCCAGUCCCAUGAUAGAAUCGAAAGCCAUUAGAGAGAUGGAUGAAAUUCUGAAUAAGGCAGCCGAAGAAGGAUCAUCUCCGAUUCCACAUAGCAAUCUUGGUUUGUCGGGAAGAAUUUCGCGAUUGACAAGUAAUCAUCGAUCCAGAAGGCUGUUUGGUACUGCGGCAUCAACAGUCUUGAAACUGUUAAAGCAUGCAUAA